AGUGAACGCUGGCGGUAGGCCUAACACAUGCAAGUCGAACGGCAGCACAGUAAGAGCUUGCUCUUACGGGUGGCGAGUGGCGGACGGGUGAGGAAUACAUCGGAAUCUACUUUUUCGUGGGGGAUAACGUAGGGAAACUUACGCUAAUACCGCAUACGACCUACGGGUGAAAGUAGGGGAGCUUCGGACCUUGCGCGAUUGAAUGAGCCGAUGUCGGAUUAGCUAGUUGGCGGGGUAAAGGCCCACCAAGGCGACGAUCCGUAGCUGGUCUGAGAGGAUGAUCAGCCACACUGGAACUGAGACACGGCCCAGACUCCUACGGGAGGCAGCAGUGGGGAAUAUUGGACAAUGGGCGCAAGCCUGAUCCAGCCAUGCCGCGUGCGUGAAGAAGGCCUUCGGGUUGUAAAGCCCUUUUGUUGGGAAAGAAAAGCAGCAGGUUAAUACCCCGCUGUUCUGACGGUACCCAAAGAAUAAGCACCGGCUAACUUCGUG
rnacentral:rRNA from 1 species